GCGCCUUCUGAGGGCUCUGAGGGAGAGUCUGCUCCAUGCCUCUCUCCUGGCUUCUGGUGGUUUGCCGGCAAUCUUUGGUGUUCCUUGGCCUGUAGGUGCAUCACCCCAAUCUCUGCUUUCAUGCUCACAUGCUGUCCUCCCUGCCUGUGUCUCUGUGUCCAGGUUUCCCUUUUGUAUAAGUACACCAGUCAUACUGGAUUAAGGCCCAAUCCUAACGACCUCAUUUUCAUUUGAUUACCUUUAAAGACCCUAUUAGCAGUUCUGGAGCCGUCCGUGGGAGGAAGAGUGGAGGAAGAGGAGGCGGAAGAAGGAAGGAGGAAGGGCCGUACCAAGUCACCGGUGAACGUUCCCAGCACGCACAGGACUCCUCCCAGAAACAGACAGGUGGAAGCUGACCACUAAAAGCUGGCUAGAGAGAGCCAGGGCACUCAGGACUUGGGGGAGAGUUGAAGUAUUAUGUUGGCAAAAGACUCUAUGGGUAUCCUCACUUGACUAGAAGAAGGAUUACUUUUUCCUUGGACCCAGGAAUCUGCUGAGGUGUUCACAGCUGCCUGCCUGCCUGCCGUGUCAGAUAGUAGAAGUGGUGUGAUGAUGACCAAGUUGGAUGGUGAAUGGAAGAUUCUCGACACCAGGUACUGCCCAGCCAACAAGACACAGGCUUGUCCCACCGCAGCAGAAAGUUGUUCUGUAGGCCAAUAGCGAGACUGAGAAAUGGCCAGAUGCAAAAGAAACCAGUUCUGACUGCACUCCAGCUCUGCCUACCAAGUCAGGGCCAGGAGGCCCACGAACACUCCCUCAUUGCUGACACUACAGAGCUGAGCUUCACAAAGUGCUCCCUGUUGGCUCUGCAUUUAGACCUCCCACAACUACAGAUAAAACAGAGGGAGACUAACAUGCCUUAGAAACUAAGCAAAUAACUUAAAGGAUAAUAUUUAAACAUGCUCAUAUAUCUAGAUCUUGAUCUUCCUUUAUUCAAUUUCAUGGUCAUGCAAAUAUAACAGCUUGAGAUA
rnacentral:lncRNA from 1 species